GUGCCCACUUUGACCGCACAGAUACUAAAAUUGAAAUGACACAGAGAAGAUCAGCACGGCCCGUGCACAGGGAUGGCACACACAUUCCUAAAGGGUUUCCAUAUUUUU
ensembl:snRNA U6 U6 spliceosomal RNA